AAAUUGAAGAGUUUGAUCAUGGCUCAGAUUGAACGCUGGCGGCAGGCCUAACACAUGCAAGUCGAACGGUAACAGGAAACAGCUUGCUGUUUCGCUGACGAGUGGCGGACGGGUGAGUAAUGUCUGGGAAACUGCCUGAUGGAGGGGGAUAACUACUGGAAACGGUAGCUAAUACCGCAUAAUGUCGCAAGACUAAAGAGGGGGACCUUCGGGCCUCUUGCCAUCGGAUGUGCCCAGAUGGGAUUAGCUAGUAGGUGGGGUAACGGCUCACC
rnacentral:rRNA from 1 species